rnacentral:rRNA from 1 species
UACGUAGGGUGCAAGCGUUAAUCGGAAUUACUGGGCGUAAAGCGUGCGCAGGCGGUUAUGCAAGACAGAGGGGAAAUCCCCGGGCUCAACCUGGGAACUGCCUUUGUGACUGCAUGACUAGAGUACGGUAGAGGGGGAUGGAAUUCCGCGUGUAGCAGUGAAAUGCGUAGAUAUGCGGAGGAACACCGAUGGCGAAGGCAAUCCCCUGGACCUGUACUGACGCUCAUGCACGAAAGCGUGGGGAGCAAACAGG